CAAAGUUUAUUACGUUGCCCAUAAACUUUUGCUAUUAUCCCACGAAGAAAUUCACCAGAUUGUGGAAUAAAAAUUUUACAACAUGUAUUAACAAACUCCGGGUGACAUAAUGAAGGUCAUACUUACAAACGUCCAAUGUUUCGUUGUUUGGGCUAAAACGAAAGCUCUGUAAUGCGAAAUGUACAUGGAACGUUAAAAUUAAAUAAUAUGUUUUAAUCCAUUUCGGGAGAAGCGACAAUAGUUCGGAGCAACAAAGAAACAAGCUUUCGGGGACGAUUUUUCAUCAGUGUUUUGAAAUUGUAAAAGGGUGUUAUUUUGAAAUUAGGAGCGUUGUUUCAAUUCGUCCCUUCUGGGUAUUGUGUGACGAGGGAAAACUACUUGACCCGGAAUUGCCCCAAGUAGCGGAACAGUUUUUUUAAAUAAAACAAAUCGGGUUUAUUGCACAAUUUUUUAUUAAAUAAAAUUUUCAGAUACUACAUAAAAUUGGACAAAUACUUAUCUCCUAACAUGACAAUCAUCUGAGAGACAUUUGAAAUUUUACAUUUGCUCAUCCAUGAUAUUCUGCGAAUAUCUUAUCCGCCUCACCCCGUUGUGGGUGUGCGUAUUUCUCAUCACAGACACCGAUCUGACAGGUAACUGGUGAUUGCAAGUGGUGUAUUUGCUGCAAUUCUUGCGCUUCAUGCUGAUGUAGGUUGUGCACGUGUUAUUUCUCUGUAAAGAUGUACUCUCCGUACCUUCCAUACCUGCAACAAACACCUAUACAAUACACAUAAGAGAGAAUCCUGCUUAACAAGAUUCAGAACAUGAACUAUUUUUAUCGGAACUUCCCGACCGAGCAAGAAUACGCUUUCUAUCACUCGUGUCUGAGGAGAAAACUCGAAAAUUCAUCGGACAAUCAUUGAAAUUGUUAAAAUGAGCUUCCCAGUCCUGAGUUGUAAACCAGGAAAAUAUGUGUACUCCAGUAAAUGAUUGCCUGAAGUGGAGAUUGCAAAUAUUUUACAUCUAAGCAAACUUGGUUUGACAAAGCGAUAUUUUCUGGUGAAAUAUCGGAAACAUUAGUUUUGGGAGCUAGGUACUUUAAUUUAUAAGAGUCAAUUUCAUAUAGUCAUUAAUAGCAGCAAGAAAUUAAGUUUGUUUGCAACACAAAAAUUUAUGGUUAAUUUAAGAUGAGUUAUAAUGGCCAUAUUUAUAGCAGAUUCGAUAUUAACGUCAAACUUGAGGUGCUUUGAAAGAAAGUUGGUAAAUACAUAUUUAUGCACCAGUGGUAGGAAAACAAUUUGUUAGAAAUAGACGACGGUAUAAUAAAGAAACGCAUUUUUCUAAUUAAAACAACACUGGCAGGAGGUCAUGUUUAACCCACAUGCAAAUUACACACCACAUCCAUUAGAAAAGCUCAUUUCUCUAAUUCAAUACGAUUUUAGUCUUUUUAUAAAAGAGGUGUUGCAAACAAAAAUUCUUGCCGCAUCCGCCUUUGUUUCCUCCUGUAAUUAAUUCCUCCGACUUUUAUGUUUCGUUUUAAACAAACAGUAAAAAAUAAUCUUUGUCGAAAUUAAAAUUAAUUGUUAUGAGGCGGCCAAUUAUACAAAUUACUUUUACAGUUUGUCCUUCUCCGAGGUAAUAAAUUUUUUGCCCUUUCAGCUCCGGCUGCAUCAUUCAUUUAAAAUUGUUAUAGAGCAAAAUUAGCAAGUUGGACAACGGGCUAGGAGAGCAAACGUAGGCAGAAAAUUAAUUUCAAUAUUGGGUCCUCACCUGCAUGUGAGAAUCUUGCUGAUGUCGUUAAUGGAGUUACACAUCUACGGAGGCAAGGGAUGGACAUCAUAACUUGAAGGAAACCAUUUCGAAAUCGUGCAUUCAUGUAGCAGUAUAUUAUUGGAUUGUAACAAGCGUGGGACAUUGCCAGACCAUGUAAUGGGAAGUACAAAUAUACCAUGACACUGCCACUGAUGUGCUCCUUGAAGAUCUGAAAAAACACAAUUUUCCGGGAUUGUGCUCUUGCAGGAAUGUUUGCAAGAGUAAACGACUCUCAGCAUAACAUCCUUUCUCAAUUUUUUCAACUGAAAACCAGUUUCUUGUGUGCAGUUUGGAUAAGCACUGCUUAAGCUAUCCUUCAGAGGCUGAGUAAUUUCAAAUCAAGGUGCACACAAACCCUCAGUCAAUGUAAAAACGACUGCAAAGGCGAUUUUAAUCAUAAAAUGCUGACUUUUGUCUGAAACGUGUUACAAAUUUAAUUUCUUCAGCAGCGAGACAUUAAAACUUUACGAUAGUGGAUUAAAAACCUGCAGUAAUUUACGUAUUAUUACGAACUGAAAACUACCCAGGACAAUUUGUUAUAUUUUUCGAAGAAAAGCUACAAUCAUCUAGUUUUUGCAAGAGAACGGGCAUUGUUUCACCUGAAAGAGACGCUAUGAAAAUAUAAACCAGUAAAAAACUUUUUGUCCGCCGCUAUAAAGUGUGGCCUUUCUAAAAUUUACAAAACGUGAAAUGUAACAUUUAUAAGCCGCAGGAACACGCGAAUGGAGCCUUUUUCUUAUACGUUUCCUGGAGCAGGACCCAGAAUUUUAUUACAUGUACACGGAAAUCAAUAAAAUUUAUUGCACACUUA